AUUUCUGUCAGACUAACAACUCCAAUACAUCAGCUGAGAUUCAUACUGGUGUUGGAAAUAUAAAUCGUAUUGGUCAAUACGUGUCCUACAACAAUUUCAGGUAAAGAGUGGUGCUGGCAUGCAACGCAUGCAUAUCUGUUGCUAUAGCGACGAAAUGCGCGAUAUUUUACGUCAAAAGAUUGAGUGCUAGAUGAUUUUAGCUAAUUAUCCCUCACAACCCCUGUUACCACUUGUUUAUUCUGCCAAAUAUAGCAAAAUUUCGCAGUUGGUCAAAGGUUCCUUGUGGAAGAGGCUAUACAUGUAUAUUGGAGACUUGUGUAUAUAAUAUAUAUUUUAUAUAUACUGUAUGUAUGAUUUGCAAAAUGUAUUCCUGGAAACAGGAAUACAUUGAGUAUCAAACACGCCGCAUGCAUAGCAUGGCUUAGGUUCUAUUCUAGUAAUGCAACGUCACAUACUAGCUAAAAAGCGCUGCAGCACAACAUUGUUCUGGUGGACGCAAAUGUACCAAACGAAUUAAAACACAUAUUAUUAAUAAAGUGGGAAAACCUGAAUUCCUGUAUAUGCAUAGCCUCGACCUUAUGCUUAGAUUGCUUUCGAAUUUUAUUCAGUCUUACGUAAUGUUUGAAGUUUCUGCCUGUUUUCGAAGGUUUGAAGUCGAGGCUAAUGGCUAUGCGUGUAUAGUGCUACCCUGCAAUAAUUCUGCAAAUGGUCGAUUUACCAUAUUUUUAUUUAUUCCAUCAUAGAACCCUGCCAUGGUGGAACACAAAAUGGGCAAAUAUGAUCAAUGGAACAGGUAAAGAAUGACAAUUAAUGUCAAUUAAUGACGAUCAAUAAUUAUGAGACAGACGCAUGUUAACUGCAUGAUGUUGAACUUAAAAAGUCUUUGCAGGGGUGAAGCCAAAUUUGAAUAAAUUACUUUAAUAGGUCAUGGU